AGCGAACGCUGGCGGCAGGCCUAACACAUGCAAGUCGAACGAACUCUUCGGAGUUAGUGGCGGACGGGUGAGUAACACGUGGGAACGUGCCUUUAGGUUCGGAAUAACUCAGGGAAACUUGUGCUAAUACCGAAUGUGCCCUUCGGGGGAAAGAUUUAUCGCCUUUAGAGCGGCCCGCGUCUGAUUAGCUAGUUGGUGAGGUAAAGGCUCACCAAGGCGACGAUCAGUAGCUGGUCUGAGAGGAUGAUCAGCCACAUUGGAACUGAGACACGGCCCAAACUCCUACGGGAGGCAGCAGUGGGGAAUCUUGCGCAAUGGGCGAAAGCCUGACGCAGCCAUGCCGCGUGAAUGAUGAAGGUCUUAGGAUUGUAAAAUUCUUUCACCGGGGACGAUAAUGACGGUACCCGGAGAAGAAGCCCCGGCUAACGUCGUG
rnacentral:rRNA from 1 species